rnacentral:rRNA from 1 species
AGGAGAGGAUUCUGACGGUACUUGAUGAAUAAGCCACGGCUAAUUCCGUGCCAGCAGCGCGGUAAUACGGGAGUGGCAAGCGUUAUCCGGAAUUUUGGGCGUAAAGCGUCCGCAGGCGGCCCUUCAAGUCUGCUGUUAAAAAGUGGAGCUUAACUCCAUCAUGGCAGUGGAAACUGUUGGGCUUGAGUGUGGUAGGGGCAGAGGGAAUUCCCGGUGUAGCGGUGAAAUGCGUAGAUAUCGGGAAGAACACCAGUGGCGAAGGCGCUCUGCUGGGCCAUCACUGACGCUCAUGGACGAAAGCCAGGGGAGCGAAAGGGAUUAGAUACCCCUGUAGUCCUGGCCGUAAACGAUGAACACUAGGUGUCGGGGGAAUCGACCCCCUCGGUGUCGUAGCCAACGCGUUAAGUGUUCCGCCUGGGGAGUACGCACGCAAGUGUGAAACUCAAAGGAAUUGACGGGGGCCCGCACAAGCGGUGGAGUAUGUGGUUUAAUUCGAUGCAACGCGAAGAACCUUACCAGGGUUUGACAUCCUGCGAGUCUCUUGGAAACGAGAGAGUGCCUUCGGGAGCGCAGUGACAGGUGGUGCAUGGCUGUCGUCAGCUCGUGUCGUGAGAUGUUGGGUUAAGUCCCGCAACGAGCGCAACCCACGUCUUUAGUUGCCAGCAUUCAGUUGGGCACUCUAGAGAGACCGCCGGUGAUAAACCGGAGGAAGGUGUGGAUGACGUCAAGUCAUCAUGCCCCUUACAUCCUGGGCUACACACGUACUACAAUGCUACGGACAAAGGGCAGCAAGUUCGCGAGGACAAGCAAAUCCCAUAAACCGUGGCUCAGUUCAGAUCGUAGGCUGCAACUCGCCUACGUGAAGGAGGAAUCGCUAGUAAUCGCAGGUCAGCAUACUGCGGUGAAUACGUUCCCGGGCCUUGUACACACCGCCCGUCACACCAUGGAAGUUGGCCACGCCCGAAGCCGUUACUCCAACCCUUG